AAAAAUAAUCAUAAUAAAAUAAAAGGCUAUCAUUUCUUCUAGAUGAACUAAGCUAUCAUAUCAUGUUAUACAAAAUUUUCUAAUAAACUAAUAAUGAGGCUAUUUAAAUAGUGGGAAGGGAAGACUUACAAAGCCCCAAUUGGGUUUGAUUGGUUGACUUGUGUUUAUCAGUAGCUCCUUCAGCUAAACCCAAUUCAAGUUUGUCUCAAUAAAAUUUCAUGUAAGAGGAAGAAUAAUAAGAAGAAACAAGAAUUUAAUGGGUCUUUCAAAGCCUUCUUUGCUCUUUGUUUUGGUCCUUUUGGCUGUUCUUGCUUCAGAGAAAUCAGUGGCUAUUCAAGCUAGGUUUCUUUCCUCUGCUCAACAAAGAUACGCAAAUGUUUUUGCUACUUUGGGACUGGUUUGCAAGUGUUGUGAUGGCCCAAAGGGAGAAUGCACAAGUAGUUGGACCAACUCUUGCCCUAAAAUCAAAUGCCUUCCUUGGAAGCAAAAUUAUCAAUGAAAAAAUUUAUCUUUUUGUUUUGAUGAUGUUCAGAUGUUGUACAUAUACAUAUAUUAUAUAUUUGUACCAUUAUAUAUAAGUACUUAUAUACUUAGUGGGCAAAUUUAAGUUUAUUAUUACAUAGGUAUUGGUAGCUCUUUUAGUGUAUAUUGAUAUAAUUACAAGUUUCAAGAGUAAGAGCUAUAAGUUAAUGGAGAAGUGUUUGGUGAAAUUAAGUAAUAUAUAAGGGUGUUAAUAUCUAGCAUGAAUUUUUGUUUGUAAAA